UCAGGCCUAACACAUGCAAGUCGAACGGCAGCACGGACUUCGGUCUGGUGGCGAGUGGCGAACGGGUGAGUAAUACAUCGGAACGUGCCCAAUCGUGGGGGAUAACGUAGCGAAAGCUACGCUAAUACCGCAUACGAUCUAAGGAUGAAAGCGGGGGAUCGCAAGACCUCGCGCGACUGGAGCGGCCGAUGGCAGAUUAGGUAGUUGGUAGGGUAAAGGCCUACCAAGCCGACGAUCUGUAGCUGGUCUGAGAGGAUGAUCAGCCACACUGGGACUGGGACACGGCCCAGACUCCUACGGGAGGCAGCAGUGGGGAAUUUUGGACAAUGGACGCAAGUCUGAUCCAGCCAUUCCGCGUGCAGGAUGAAGGCCCUCGGGUUGUAAACAGAUGUUGUACAGAACGAAAAGGCUCUGGUUAAUACCUGGGGC
rnacentral:rRNA from 1 species